rnacentral:rRNA from 1 species
CGAAAGCUCCUUCGGGAGUGAGUAGAGUGGCGAACGGGUGAGUAAUACGUAGGAAUCUACCCAAGAGUGGGGGAUAACCCGGGGAAACUCGGGCUAAUACCGCAUACGCCCUACGGGGUAAAGCGGGGGACCUUCGGGCCUCGCGCUUUUGGAUGAGCCUACGCCGGAUUAGCUUGUUGGUAGGGUAAUGGCCUACCAAGGCGACGAUCCGUAGCUGGUCUGAGAGGAUGAUCAGCCACACUGGGACUGAGACACGGCCCAGACUCCUACGGGAGGCAGCAGUGGGGAAUAUUGGACAAUGGGGGCAACCCUGAUCCAGCCAUGCCGCGUGUGUGAAGAAGGCCUUCGGGUUGUAAAGCACUUUCAGAAGGGAAGAAAAGCCUGGGACUAAUACUCCCGGGUCUUGACGGUACCUUCAGAAGAAGCACCGGCUAACUCCGUGCCAGCAACCGCGGUAAUACGGAGGGUGCAAGCGUUAAUCGGAAUUACUGGGCGUAAAGCGCGCGUAGGUGGUUUGGUAAGUCGGAUGUGAAAGCCCUGGGCUCAACCUGGGAAUUGCAUUCGAAACUGCCUGACUAGAGUGUGGUAGAGGGAAGUGGAAUUCCGCAUGUAGCGGUGAAAUGCGUAGAGAUGCGGAGGAACACCAAUGGCGAAGGCAACUUCCUGGACCAACACUGACACUGAGGUGCGAAAGCGUGGGUAGCAAACAGGAUUAGAUACCCUGGUAGUCCACGCCGUAA